AAAAAUAAGAUGUUAUAAAUAUAUUAAUCUUGGUUCGGUUAAAAUUUUAAAAACUAACGAGUUUUCUGUGACAUCCAUUAACUAAAUCUUGUUAAUACAUUUAUUAAAAUUUAAUUAUUUUAUAUGGUAAUUUAUGAGCUUUUACAAUAAAUUCUCUUAGAAAAUAGUAAAGAUAAAUAUUAAUAGGGAAGAUAAAAUUAUUAUUAGCAAAUAACCUAAAUAAGAUAGAAGUGAAAUCCUAAAUAAGAAAAUUGAAUAUUUUUCAUUAAGUUUAGAUAUGAAUAGUCUAUCUUUUAUUAGAUAAAAAGAAAAUAUUGUCUUCUUGAAAAAAAUGGAGAACUCCUACUUGUGAACUUGAAAAUUGAUUUAAUUAUAUCUUAUUUUUUAUCAACUAAUAAAGCAUUGGUUUGAAUUUCAGAGAUGCUGGAUUUGAUUUUCUCAUUGCAUAUGUGCAAUCUGUUUACACACAAUAUGAGAAUGACAUAUCACAUAUAAAUGUUUCGUAUAAAAAGACUACAAGUCAUUUAUGUCAAUAACAAAAACCAGUGACAAUUCACCAACAUUAUCAUUAUGAUAUAUUUAACUUGAUAAUAGAUUUUUAGUUGGAAUAAUUAAAUUCUAGAUUCGGUGAUGAGACAUUGAAACUUCUUGUACUUAGUUCUACUUUAGAACUUGAUGACAACUUUAAAUCAUUUAAAGUUGAUGCUAUUUGUAAGUUUGCUAAGAAAUUUUAUCAUAAAGAUUUCAAUGAACAGGAGAUGUAUUAUUUGAGCUCUCGGAUAUAGCAUUGUUAGAUUGAUGUGAUUCAUCAUAUGAACUUUUAGAAUAUGUUACUAUUUUUGAAUUAUGUCGAGGAUUAGUUAAAAUAAAUAAGUCACAGCACUAUCAUUUGAUUGACAGGUUGAUUGGUCUUAUUCUGACAUUGUCUAUUUUCAUUACCAUCAUAAAACAAGCAUUUUCAGCAAUAAAACAUGUUAAAACUAUGUUUUGCAAUAAAAUGAAAGAUGAGUUUUUAGCAUAUUUUAUGAUGAUUUGCAUUGAACGAGAGCUUGCUGAAGAUAUUAAUUCGGAUUCGAUCAUAGAUGAAUUUUAUUCCACAAAAUAUGGAAGGGUGCAACUUCGAUAGUGUAAUUUAUUUUUAAUUUUAAAAAAUUUUAUAUACUUUAAAUUUGAAUUAAAACUUUAUUAUUAACUUCAAUAUAUAUAUAUAUAUAUAUAUUGAAAAAUAUAUAUAUAAAUUAAUAAUUAAUCUUAAAAAAUAAUUUAUAUAUGUGUGUUUAAUAGCCCAGGAGAGGAAAAAUUCCUAGCUCCGCCCUUGGAUACAACUUACAAGAGAAUUGAACAUAAAUUCCCAGAGGGUUUAAUUACUUGCAAGGUACUUCCUUAUACUUUCAAUUACAGCUGCAAGCCUUUUAGUAUACUUGCUGAUAAAUCUGAAGUGGAGCACCAAGUUUUUUCUUUCCAACAAAACAGUUUGUCUUUGUGGAGUACCUAUGUGUGUUUUCUUCUCAUGUAAUCGCAAGUUUGCACUAACACAGGUACGUACCUCACUGGUUCUUUCAAUUCCAUGCACACGAUUUAGUCUAAUUACAUAUGUCAUUGAUGGAAAUGGUCGAGUUCUAGAAAAACCCAGAAACGGCAAACAAGUCCUCUAAUUAAUAUGUAUUUUAUUUAUUAGGCGAAAAGCCUGAAAGAGGCACAUGGAUGGGAGAGACAAAUAACGGAGAUCACCAUGAAUAUACAUAUAACUAUUUCAUGGGGUUCUUCACAUGCCUUCCUACUUGUUUUUCUUAUCCACAUUUAGCUGCUGGUUUACAGGUUCCGGAUGCCGGUGCCUGUAAUGAACCAAUAAAAUACCUCAAUUAGACAACGCACGCGAUUAGCAAUUUCAUGAUGAAUAUGUUGAGACCAUUUUGUAUAAUAUGUUUAUGACAACCUUGUAAUGCAUUAAGGUUACAAGUUGAUAAUUAUGAACCCGUUCGGUAUGACGAUCAAGUGCAGUGACGAUGCAAGAUGCAUUAAUUUGGAGUUUUUUUUUUUUUUUUUAACACAACCAUAUCUUCAACCUUAUUAUCAAACACCUACAUGAUAUAAGGAAAGUUUUGCAUACCUUCUUUUUAGGCUCCCGGGGCUUCUGCUCGGCCUUUUUAGGGGCUGGUUUCGAUGCCGGAAUUUUGGGUGCACUGCUGCUGGAUUUAGCUGCAGGCUCUUUCUUGACAGGCUCGACUGGCUUAGUGCCAACAGGUUUCAUUGCUUUGAGUGAUGCCAUUCUUCUUCGGUACCCUGUGAAAGAGGUUGCACAAACACUUGCUGGCCUGAGUAAUAGGGUCCUUCAGAUAGUCCUAUUUAUAGCCAGGUUGCUUAAUUAUAACAUGGAAUCCGAAGAAGUAAUCACAUCAGAUGAAUGGAUAGAUAGGUGUGGCUGUUUGAAGGAAUAGAAUAACUUGAACUGGAGGCCUUUUGAGAGAUGCUGCAUCGGAUGCUUAAUUGGGCAUAUUUUAACGACAUUAUUGGAUGCUUAUUCUAUUAUAGAGGCAGUUAUUUUCAGGGAAUAAGCUUGAAUGCAAGUGCAUUCAAUGAGCUACAGAUAAAUCCGAUCUUGAUUAAUAGUCAGAUCAUGUCACCCUUGUAGUUACAAUUAGCCUAAUUGCGAUUAAUUUGAAAGGAUUUUCUAUAAUGACAGGGACUACAUGUAUUCGAUGCAUGCUUACUAGCAAUGAAAAAACAAGAGCUUUUAUCUACAAAAUAGCAUUCUGCAGAAUUUGCAGAUAUCUGUUUCUGUUUCGGCCACUGAUCCACGCAAUCUCAUGGAACUGAUGCCAAAUAAUUGACUGUAAUUCACAUUGAAGAGAUGUAGGAUUUCAAAAUAAGAGUAAAUUUACAUCACAAAACUCUCUGCAGAACAGACCUCUACUUGCCCGGUAGAGAUAAGAGGGACGGCAGUAGAUGAAGUGGAGGACGAAAGGAUGAAGUCAGGAAUUUAUGUACUAUUAUAAAGCUAGUGAAAUCAUUCAGGUAUAAGCUUUCCCUUUCCCUCCCGGAAGAUUUGUUUUGCAGUUCUAUGAGUGUAAUUAUUGUAGCAAUACCAAAAUGAAAAAACUAACUUAAUUACCGGACCUUCCAUGAUAAAUUGGCCUUGUAACAGAGAAUUUCAAAGUCAAUUAUAACAUCUUGGUUUCCCUUUAAGAUUCUGUGUUCUAGGUACAGGAAACUGAAAACAAACUCCUAACUCAUUCUUUUAAAUAAGGCAGAACUUCUUUGGAUAAUCUCUUCGGCAUAUAAUUGAUUUUCGUGCUCUCUUGUUAUUCCAGACAAAAGUCUUCAUCACCAUAUUUGGACUGGAACUACAGCACACAAAUACAGAAGGGAAUUUUUAUAAAUCAUAAUUAGUCUCCUGUCUGGUCACAGGUUGAUGUAAUUGGUUAACACAUGGUGUUAUUCGUGUGCGGCGUCGCGAUGAUUAUUUUUCUGAAUCAAGAUAAUCUGGAAUGAUAUGGGUAGAAAAGACAAGGAAUUCUUUAUUUUUUAAUUUAUUUUUUAAAAUCAUCCUUCAAUAUUAAAUUGAUUGAGAAUUAUGCUUUAUAAUUAUUUCGGUUUGUAUUUUAUGAAUUAUCCUAACUCAUAACUCGAGUUACAAGUUUGGUUUGUUGACUCAUGUGGUUUUUUUAUAUUCUUUUUAAAAUUUUACCUUUCAAUAUUAAAUUGAUUUGAGUUUUGUGAUUUGUUUUUACUUGCUUUUCAAGGGAUUAUUUCAGUCAUGUAACCAAUAUUUAGCAGAUUAACCAAAGUUGACUUGUUUUUUUAGUUGAAUUUUGUUUAUAAUUUUAUCAUUCACCAUUAGGUUGAUCAAAAAUUGAAUCUAAUAUUUUAUUUUAUUUUUGCUUUUUAUAUGAUUAUUAGGGUCUCUUGACUUGGUUAAUAGAUUUAAUAAAUUAAUUCAAGUUGAUAUAAUAUAUUAUCGUUUCAAUAUAUAUAUAAAAACAUGUUGUUUUAAUUUUUUUAAGUCAAACUAUAUUUUUAUACGUCAUUCGAGUUGUUUUUGAGUCUUUAAAGUUGAUUAGGUCACAUAAGUUCAAUCUCCAUAUAAUUUAAUUUAAAAAAAAAACAUAUUAAUAAUACUUAAAAAAAAUUUAGUUGAAUUUUGUUUUCAAUUUUAUCAUUCAACAUUAGGUUGAUCGAAAAAUGGAUCUAUUUUUAACUUGACUUAUUUUUUUAGUUAAAUUUUAUUUUCAACUUUAUCAUUUAACAUUAGAUUAAUCGAGAAUUGGAUCUAAUAUAUAUAUUUUUUUGCUUUUUAUAUGAUUAUUUUUUUAAUAAGUCAAAUUAACUUGGUUAUGGAUUUAACAAAUUAAUUUGAGUUGAUAUAAUAUAUUAUCGUUUCAAUAUUUAAAAGAACACAUGUUGUCUUAAUUUUUUAAGUCAAAUUAUAUUUUUAUAUGUCAUUCAGGUUGUUUUUUGAGUUUUUAAAGUCAAUUAGAUCAUAUAAAUUCAAUCUUCAUAUAGUUUAAUUUAUUAAAAAAAAACAUAUUAAAAAUACAGUAAUAAUUUAGUUUAAUGCUAAAAUUAAAUAAGAAAGUAAAUGGUGAACACGUAAAAUUCAAUUUAAAACGAACCUCGAUGAAAUAAAUAAAUAAAUAAAUAUCAAGCUGUUCGGGUAAAAAAGAAAAUUUAUGUUUUUUUUUAAUUAUUAUUGUUCCUUCUCUCUUUAUUCAGAAUCCUUUAUCUUGAAGGUGAACUUCCUUCUUCUAUUCCUUGUAAUUUCUGGUUCUAACCUAAAAACGUCUCCUUGCUAAAGAGAGAGUUGCUCCCGUGACAAUCUUACAAAAAAUACUCUAGCACGCAAUAUUUUUCUUUUUUAUUAUUUCUAUAUAGUAAAUUUUAUGAUAUAUAUAUAUUUUUCCUUUUAAUUUCUUAGAAGCGGUUGUCUUUCACUUUCUUGAAACCAAGGGUUGCCCAGCAAAACAAAGCCAGCCCAGAUAUGGCCCAGAACCUGUUUUUAAGCCCAAUGACAGAUCUCUCCCUCCUUCUCCAAAUAGUUCUUCUCCUUGCAGAUCUCUCCCUCCUUCUCCAAGGAGUAAGAUCUGACCCAGCUACGCUAGUCUGGCAGAGUUUAUUGAUGAACAAGAAGACAGUUGCAAGUGAGCAUACAAACUUUGAGUCAUUUCCAUAAUUUACAAAAUCGGUCGAAAGAGAAUUAAGUGGUUUGCAUUUCAAGAAACGAAAUCCACUUAAUUGUAUUAUUAUCCGCAUUAACAGUUCAUAAGAACUUCAUCUCUUAGACGGAUACCAUACUCCCAACUAGGCCAUCAAAUGAUAGCCCUACAAAGUAAAAAAGAAGAGAACAGGGAAAAGAAGAGAACAUAGGAAAAGCCAUAAUUUAAUUCGCCGAGUUGUAAAAUCAUAUAGCUGCAAAGAUUUUUGUCAGCCCGUGUUCCUCAUACCAGCAGCAAUACCAUUUAUGGUAAUAAGCAGUGCAUCUCUGAGUUUAUGAUUGUCAUCAUCGCUUCUCAACCUCUUUAGAAUCUCAACCUGCAACAUGUUCAUUGGAUUGAGGUAAGGGAGCCUGCUCUCAAUGAGCCUCCUCAAGCUCCGGUUGUUUUCUGAUAGCCUCUCAUGCCCACUAACCACCAAUACAAACUUCUCCGUCGUUAAGAGUUCUCUUCUUAGUGCAGCACCGAGUUCUCUCCUGCUCUCAUUAGAUACAAGGACUUCAUCGUAGUGCUUCGCUAUAGGAACGUCUGCCUUCCCCAAAACCAUCUCUAUAAGAUCUAUGGUAGAUUGGAAGAAAGGCCAUUCUUUGUACAUUGCUUUCAAAUCUUGGGUGUGUCCCUCCUCACAAACACCCUUCAAACCUGCCCCAACUCCAAGCCAUGCUGGAAGAACAAAUCUUGUUUGGGUCCAGGCAAAUACCCAUGGAAUGGCACGAAGAUGUCCAAUUCCUGUUGAGCUCUUUCUUCUUGUGGGUCGGCUUCCUAUGUUGAGGAAACCAAGCUCCGCUUGUGGAGUAGCCUCAUGGAAGUACGCAAGAAACUCUGGGUUUUCAUAUACCGUGCUCCGGUAACUUUGGCAGCUGAUUUUUGAAAUAAGGCAGAACUUCUUUGGAUAAUCUCUUCGGCAUAUAAUUGAUUUUCUUCCUCUCGUGUUAUUCCAGAGAAAAGUCUUCAUCACCAUAUUUAGACCGGAACUACUGGACACAAAUACAGAAUGGUUGAUGUAAUUGGUUAACACAUGGUAUUGCUCAUGUGCGGGGUUGCGAUGAUUAUCUUUUUGAAUUAGGAUAAUCUGGAAUGAUAAGGGUAGAAAAAACAAGAAAUUAUUAUUUUUUAUUAACAAAAAAUAAUAAUAAUAAUUUAAUCACUUAAAAUCUUAACUGGUCUCAGAAUUAGAAAAAAAAAACUAAUUACAUAAAAGAAAAGGUAUUAGCUCUUUUAAUAUGUAUUAUCUAAGGUAAGCUAUAUUUUAUAUUUAUCUGGUAUAAACAAAAAAAAAAGUUGUGUUUUCUUUUUUAUUUCCUUUUUUUUUUCAACCCCUAUUCUCGAUCUCAAAGGAGUAUUUAUAGGAUUUUGGAAUGUCUUGAAUCCAUUUCAGACCUUUUAUUCUUGAAAAGAGUGUUGUGAACCCUUGAUAAUAACUCAUUGAAGAGCCUUUGUGUAUGAACACUCGAAAACCUUGAUAAAAAUCCAUUUUUAGUCUAAAAAAUCACUAGAAAAACAUUAGCAACAUCUAGAUGUUUGUUUUAUAUUUUUUUAAAAAAAAAAAACGGAUCCAAUACACAGCAUAACAUGGACCAAUGAUCUAGUAUAUAAAGUGUUUGGCUUUUCACUACAGUAAUAAAUAGGAAAAGCCAAGCACUUUUUCACUUUGAUCCUUGAAACUUUUUAGAAUUUUUUUUAUUUUUUUUAAUUUAAUCCUUCAAUAUUAGGUUUGCUGGGUAUAAAACUUCAUAAUUUAUUUCAAUUUAUUUUUUAUGUUAUCCUGGUGUUAUGACUCAGGUCGUGAGUUUUAUAUAGCCGUGUUGACUCAUGUCAUGUUUUUUGUUUAUUUUUUUAUUAAUUGUUUUAAAUUUCAUCCUUCAACAUUGAGUUUAUUAGGAAUCUGAAUUCAUAAUAUUUUUCUAUUAGCUUUCUAUAGAGUUAUUCUGGUCUUUUGAUCCGGGUUUUUCAAGUUAAUCCAAUUUGACUUAGAUCAUUUUUUUUGUUCUUUUUUUAUUUGAUUUUUUUUUCUAAUUUAGUCCUUUAAAAUUGGGUUAAUUGAGAAUUGAGAUAUAUAUAUAUAUAUAUAUAUAUAUAUGGUGUUAUCACGGUCUUAUAACUCGGGUCUUGGAUUAAGCCGGUUAACUCAAGUUUUUUUUGUCUUUUUAGUUUAUUUUUUUAAUUUUAUUCUUUAAUAUUAAGUUGGUUAAGAAUUAGGUUUCAUAAUUAUUUCGGUUUGCAUUCUAUGAAAUUAUUUUAGUCUCUUGACUCGAGUCACGAGUUUGGUUUGUUAACUCAAGUGAUUUUUUGUACUUUUUUUUAAAAUUUCAUCCUUUAACAUUGAGUGAUUUGAGUUUCAUAAUUUGUUUUGACUUGUUUUUCAAGAGGAUAUCUCGGUCUUGUAACCCAUAUUUGGUAGAUUAAUCCAAGUUGACUUACCUUGUUUUUUUAGUUGAUUUUUGUUUUUAAUUUUAUCAUUCAAUAAUAGAUUGAUUGAGAAUUUGAUCUAAUAUUUUAUUUUAUAUUUUGCUUUCUAUAUGAUUAUUAGAGUAUCUUGACUUGGUUAAUGGAUUUAAUAAGUUAAUUGAAGUUGAUAUAAUAAUUGUUUUUAAAUCAAAUUAUAUUUUUAUAUGUCAUUCAAGUUAUCUUUAAAGUUGACUAGGUUAUAUAAGUUCAAUUUUUAUAUAGUUUAAUUAAAAAAAUACAUUAAUAAUACUUGAAUAUUUUUUUUACAUUAAAAAAAUUAAUCUGACUCAUGAUGUAACAAUAAUUUAGUUUAAUGCUAAAAUUAAAUAAGAAAGUAAUUGGUGAACACAUGUAAAAUUCAAUUUAAAACGAACCUCGAUGUUUGCACUUUGCAGCAUCCCGGUUGCUGAAAUAAAUAAAUAUCAAGCGUACGGGAAAAAAGCAAAUUUAUGUUUUUUUUAUUAUUAUUUUUCCUUUUUCUCUUUAUUCAGAAGCCGUUGUCUCGAAGGUGAACUUCCUUCUUCUAUUCCUUGUAAUUUCUAGUUCUAUCCUAAAAACGUCUCCUUGCUAAAAAGAGAGUUGCUCCCGUGACAAUCUUACACAAAACACUAUAGCACGCAAUAUUUUUCUUUUUUAUUAUUUCUAUAUAAUAAAAUUUAUGAUUUUUUUUUCCUUUUAAUUUCUUAGCAGCGGUUGUCUUUCACUUUCUUGAAACCAAGGGUUGCACAGCAAAACAAAGCCAGCCCAGAUAUGGCCCAGAACCUUUCUUUUAAGCCCAAUGGCAGAUCUCUCCCUCCUCCUUCUAAUAGCUCUUCUCCUCACAGAUCUCUCCCUCCUCCUUCAAGGAGUAACAUCUGACCCAUCUACGCUAGUCUAGCAGAGUUUAUUGAUGAACAAGAAGACAAUUGCAAGCGAGCAUACAAAGUUUGAGUCAUUUCCAUAAUUUACAAGUCGGUCGAAAGAGAAUUAAGUGAUUUGCAUUUCAAGAAACGAAAUCCACUUAAUUGUAUUAUUAUCCGCAUUAACAUUUCAUAAGAACUUCAUCUCUUAGACGGAUACCAUACUCCCAACUAGGCCAUCAAACGAUAGCCCUAAAAGGUCAAAAAGAAGAUAACAGGGAAAAGAAGAGAACAUAGGAAAAGCCAUAAUUUAAUUCGCCGAGUUGUAAAAUCAUAGAGCUGCAAAGAUUUUUGUCAGCCCGUGUUCCUCAUACCAGCAGCAAUACCAUUUAUGGUAAUAAGCAGUGCAUCUCUGAGUUUAUGAUUGUCAUCAUCGCUUCUCAACCUCUUUAGAAUCUCAACCUGCAACAUGUUCAUUGGAUUGAGGUAAGGGAGCCUGCUCUCAAUGAGCCUCCUCAAGCUCCGGUUGUUUUCUGAUAGCCUCUCAUGCCCACUAACCACCAAUACAAACUUCUCCGUCGUUAAGAGUUCUCUUCUUAGUGCAGCACCGAGUUCUCUCCUGCUCUCAUUAGAUACAAGGACUUCAUCGUAGUGCUUCGCUAUAGGAACGUCUGCCUUCCCCAAAACCAU
rnacentral:lncRNA from 1 species